rnacentral:rRNA from 1 species
AGAGUUUGAUCCUGGCUCAGAUUGAACGCUGGCGGCAUGCUUUACACAUGCAAGUCGAACGGCAGCACAGGGAGCUUGCUCCCGGGUGGCGAGUGGACGCACGGGUGAGGUAAUACAUCGGAACGUGUCCUGUUGUGGGGGAUAACUGCUCGAAAGGGUGGCUAAUACCGCAUGAGACCUGAGGGUGAAAGGCGGGGGAUCGCAAGACCUCGCGCAAUUGGAGCGGCCGAUGCCCGAUUAGCUAGUUGGUGAGGUAAAGGCUCACCAAGGCGACGAUCGGUAGCUGGUCUGAGAGGACGACCAGCCACACUGGGACUGAGACACGGCCCAGACUCCUACGGGAGGCAGCA